UAUUCCACCGGAGGAUCUGCACAUACAUAAACCAUUCCAGAAAUUAAGCUGCUGUAAGCACAGCCAUGGCCUUYCCAGCUCACUGCAGUAACAACACCCGUGGUGUGAUUCCGGGAAGGAAGCAGAGCUCCUGGAGUCAGCACGGCAGGGACAUGCCUUGCUGUUCAAGCAGGGGCAAUGGAGAGUCCCUUUCAUCUGCAUCAUCCCGUGGCCUUCAGACAACUGAAAUAUCAGUUAUAGAACAGCAACAGGCAGGAGUCAAAGUAUGUGCAGCUAUUUCCAUGGCUGAAGAGAAGACAGCUGGUCAGCCACAAAUACCAUUCUUACAAGUGCCAUUCCAAUAGUCACAUUAUGAAUUAAAAGCAGAAGAAUGAAGUACAAGAGGAACCCUCAGCUGAUACCCUGCUGAACCAGGAGCGAGGGCUGUGUGCUCUG